UGGGGAAUAUUGCACAAUGGAGGGAACUCUGAUGCAGCAACGCCGCGUGCGGGAUGACGGCCUUCGGGUUGUAAACCGCUUUCAGCCAUGACGAAGCUUUUGUGACGGUAGUGGUAGAAGAAGCACCGGCUAACUACGUGCCAGCAGCCGCGGUGAUACGUAGGGUGCGAGCGUUGUCCGGAAUUAUUGGGUUUAAAGGGUGCGUAGGUUGCAAGGGAAGUCAGGGGUGAAAAGCUAUAGCUCAACUAUGGUCUUGCCUUUGAAACUCUCUAGCUAGAGUGUACUGGAGGUACGUGGAACGUGUGGUGUAGCGGUGAAAUGCAUAGAUAUCACACAGAACUCCGAUUGCGCAGGCAGCGUACUACAUUACAACUGACACUGAAGCACGAAAGCGUGGGUAUCAAACAGG
rnacentral:rRNA from 1 species